GACGAACGCUGGCGGCGUGCCUAAUACAUGCAAGUAGAACGCUGAAGCUUGGUGCUUGCACCGAGUGGAUGAGUUGCGAACGGGUGAGUAACGCGUAGGUAACCUGCCUGGUAGCGGGGGAUAACUAUUGGAAACGAUAGCUAAUACCGCAUAACAGUAGAUAUCGCAUGAUAGCUACUUGAAAGGUGCAAAUGCACCACUACCAGAUGGACCUGCGUUGUAUUAGCUAGUUGGUGAGGUAACGGCUCACCAAGGCAACGAUACAUAGCCGACCUGAGAGGGUGAUCGGCCACACUGGGACUGAGACACGGCCCAGACUCCUACGGGAGGCAGCAGUAGGGAAUCUUCGGCAAUGGACGGAAGUCUGACCGAGCAACGCCGCGUGAGUGAAGAAGGUUUUCGGAUCGUAAAGCUCUGUUGUAAGAGAAGAACGAGUGUGAGAGUGGAAAGUUCACACUGUGACGGUAUCUUACCAGAAAGGGACGGCUAACUACGUG
rnacentral:rRNA from 1 species